CGCCUUUUGAAUUAUAAAUAUAAAAGGUCCUGCCUGCCCAGUGACACUUGUUUCAACGGCCGCGGUAUCAUGACCGUGCAAAGGUAGCGUAAUCACUUGUCUUUUAAAUAAAGACCAGUAUGAAUGGCAAGACGAAAGCCUAACUGUCUCCCUAAGCUAAUCAAUGAAAUUGAUCUUCCCGUGCAGAAGCGGGAAUAAUAAUAUAAGACGAGAAGACCCUGUGGAGCUUCAAAAUUAAGCUAACAGAUAUAAUGCCUUAGCAUACAGUUUUAGGUUGGGGCGACCAUGAGGUAAAAUAAAACCCUCAAGACGAAAACUAAGAAGGACACUUCAAAUAAAUAAUAAUAUAGUAAUUGACCCAAUAAUUGAUCAACGAACCAAGUUACCCCAGGGAUAACAGCGCAAUCUACUCAAAGAGCCCUUAUCGACGAGCAGGUUUACGACCUCGAUGUUGGAUCAGGACUCCCAAAUAAUGUAACAAUUAUUAAAGGUUCGUUUGUUCAACGAUUAAAGUCCU
rnacentral:rRNA from 1 species